rnacentral:rRNA from 1 species
GAUGAACGCUGGCGGCGUGCCUAAUACAUGCAAGUCGAGCGAACGGACGAGAAGCUUGCUUCUCUGAUGUUAGCGGCGGACGGGUGAGUAACACGUGGAUAACCUACCUAUAAGACUGGGAUAACUUCGGGAAACCGGAGCUAAUACCGGAUAAUAUUUUGAACCGCAUGGUUCAAAAGUGAAAGACGGUCUUGCUGUCACUGAUAGAUGGAUCCGCGCUGCAUUAGCUAGUUGGUAAGGUAACGGCUUACCAAGGCAACGAUGCAUAGCCGACCUGAGAGGGUGAUCGGCCACCCUGGAACUGAGACACGGUCCAGACUCCUACGGGAGGCAGCAGUAGGGAAUCUUCCGCAAUGGGCGAAAGCCUGACGGAGCAACGCCGCGUGAGUGAUGAAGGUCUUCGGAUCGUAAAACUCUGUUAUUAGGGAAGAACAUAUGUGUAAGUAACUGUGCACAUCUUGACGGUACCUAAUCAGAAAGCCACGGCUAACUACGUG